CAUUUUUCCAAUAAGUAAAUUGAAUUAAUGCGGAAUUUAUAAGAUUUCUAUUUUACAGUUAAAUAAAAUAAAUUAUUAUGUACGCUUCCAUGGCUUUGGAUCCUCAUAAUCAUUGUUGCGGCGGCCGUGCUUGGUGUGUGAAGGAUAUAUGCGGUGUUUGCUGUGUGUUGUUGACAUGGCUUUUAAUAUUGUUUGCUGAAUUUGUAGUAAUGCGAGUUAUUCUCUGGCCAAGUCCACAUCCACUAUUUAGCACGGCGAAUAUUGCAAUAUUUCAAAUGUUGGCAUUUUUAGCAUUUGCUUCACAUAUUCGUACGAUGCUAUCCGAUCCGGGCGCUGUUCCACGUGGUAAUGCCACGAAAGAAAUGAUAGAACAGAUGGGAUAUCGUGAGGGUCAAAUGAUAUUUAAAUGUCCGAAAUGUUGUAGCAUUAAACCUGAACGUGCUCAUCAUUGCUCAGUUUGUCAACGAUGUAUACGUAAAAUGGAUCAUCACUGUCCUUGGGUGAAUAAUUGUGUCGGUGAAAAUAAUCAAAAAUAUUUUGUAUUAUUCACGUUUUACAUUGCAUCGAUAUCGGUUCAUGCUAUAUUUUUGGUAAUAACGUCGUUAGCUGAAUGCGUUAAAAAUGAAUGGCGUCAGUGCUCACCGUACACUCCACCCACUACUAUCAUUCUCUUAUUGUUCCUAAUUUUCGAAGCUUUACUCUUUGCCAUCUUCACUAUAAUCAUGCUUGCCUCGCAGCUAACCGCUAUUCUCAAUGAUCAAACGGGUAUUGAGCAACUGAAAAAAGAGGCUCGCUGGGCGAAAAAAUCACGUCUUAAAAGCAUACAAUCGGUUUUUGGCCGUUUUUCAUUGGCAUGGUUUUCUCCAUUUACGAAACCAUCGAAUAAAUCAGGCUUUAAUACCCAUUUUUAUUCCGUAUAGAGAUGAAAUUGUUGUUUGUCUUUACUACUGAUAAGUUUCAUUAUUGUGAUUGUGAGUGCGAUAAUUAAGAAAAGAUAUUUUUGGAAAGUUGAAAAAAAAUCUUGUAAUCUAAUAUUUAUACUUAUUAUAUUUAAGACGUAAUUACUUUAAGAAAAUUGUUGUCUAAAAACUAGGUUGACAUCCUGAUUGAUCGAGUUUAAUAUGUAUAUAUGCAUAUGUACAAAUGAAUAAUGAACAAAUUAUUGUUUACGAUAAAGUAUAAAUAAGAAAGAAAAUUGAUAUAUAAAAUUCUUUGCUAAGCAUCCCGGAAACGGUGGAUGUCGGAGUAAAAGUAAAGUAUUUUUAUUUUAAUUUAACAGCAUGUUCAAUUCAAAUCGUUUCUAGCGGCAAAGUGCAAUUGAAUACUCAUGCUCUUUAUUUAGAUUCAGAUUUUUGUUUUGCUUUAAGAAUAACAAUACGAAAAAUAUUGUACUCACUGGCCAUUUACUGCUCUGAAUAUAUAUUGCUAGACACCCCUUCAAAAAAAAACAAAGAUUAGAUCAAAAUGUAUGGGUGCUGCUGCCGCUGCAAUUUUUUCGAAUAUUUACCGGCCGUGUGUUCAGUCUGAGGAAAACUGUCGGAGAUCCAGGUACGUUAUCUGGACGAACGCGUGUGUUAGUACUUCAUCGAAUAUUUAUUUAUAUACAUAUACUUCGACAUAUA